rnacentral:rRNA from 1 species
UGGGGAAUAUUGCACAAUGGGGGAAACCCUGAUGCCGCGACGCCGCGUGAACGAAGAAGGUAUUCGUAUCGUAAAGUUCUGUCCUAUGGGAAGAUAAUGACAGUACCAUAGAAGAAAGCUCCGGCUAAAUACGUGCCAGCAGCCGCGGUAAUACGUAUGGAGCGAGCGUUGUCCGGAAUUAUUGGGCGUAAAGGGUACGCAGGCGGUUUAAUAAUGCGAAUGUUAAAGAUCGGGGCUCAACCCCGCAAAGCAUUGGAAACUGAUAAACUUGAGUAGUGGAGAGGAAAGUGGAAUUCCUAGUGUAGUGGUGAAAUACGUAGAUAUUAGGAGGAAUACCAGUAGCGAAGGCGACUUUCUGGACACAAACUGACGCUGAGGUACGAAAGCGUGGGGAGCAAACAGG